rnacentral:tRNA from 1 species
UGGCUUGGAGGUCGUAUGGAAGACUACUCGGCUUUUAACCGAGGGGUGCGGCCCCGGAGUUUCAUCCGGGGCGAGUCCCGCCGGGCCAA